rnacentral:lncRNA from 1 species
ACCACAUUAUACAAUUAUCAAUUUACAUAACCUUUUAUUCCCCUUUUUCCUCAGUCAGCAUCAUCAAAUCACACACAAACAAGCAAACCAGUAAUUUAUGCCAAACAAGACAACAUACAACAUCGGGUUCUCAGUCAUUCAACCCAUAAUCAAUAAAACAGUGAUAUAUGCAUACGAAACUAUAAAAUGAAAACAUCAGACCUCAUACUGCAUUUAAAACUGUAAAAUAGAACAAACAGCAACUGAUCGACAAAUACACUAGACUCGGGCUCCAUU